rnacentral:ncRNA from 1 species
UGAAAUUGUCAACUAAAAUAGAUUUUUUGUUAAAUCAAGUCUUUGGGGGAUCGAUAAUUGGCUUCUUGAAGGACAGUUUACUACAUGAUAAACCACGUACACUUGCGUGUGCGCUUGGGAAAUGUCAGACAGCGUGACUACUUUGUUGAGCUGUGCCACAAAAUCAAGAACUCCAAGUGGAUCAUUUUUAUAAGGAGAACUAGAGAUACAGGAUAAAUCAGAAGAUGAGUUAUGGUGCCAAACUCCACGCUAACAUAGAUCUGACAAAAGGUGUUGGUUGAUUAAGACAGCAGGUCACUGGUCAUGGAAGUUUAAAUUUGCUAAAGAGUGUGUUGCAACUCACUUCCCGAAUCAGCUAGCCUCGAAAAUGGAUGGGCUGAAGUGCACGGCCUACACCCGACUAUCAGAGUAAGUGCUAGGCCUCGAUGUGUUA